rnacentral:misc_RNA from 1 species
AAUAAAAAAAAAAAAAAAAUGCAGGGAAAUUUACAUAUCUACGUUAUCCAGAAGAAAUCAGCAAAAUCAAUAGACUUCAACGUUCCAUUGCUCACUCUUCUUCAGCGAUCUCUUGUAUUCAAUCCAAUCAAUGCCAUCUUUAGAGGCCAAAGACACCAUAAUGUCAUCAAUCCCCUUUUCCAUUCCCUUCAGCCCACACAUAUAGACGUAGGUGUUGUCUUUUUUUAGUAGUUCCCAUAACUCCUCUGCAUAUUGUGCCAUUCGGGUUUGAAUGUACAUCUUCUCACCCUUCUCAUUUGUUUGUUCUCUGCUCACAGCAUAAUCAACUCUGAAGUUAUCUGGGGCCUUCUCCUUCAUCUUCUCAAACUCCUCCUUGUAAAGCAAUGAGCUGCUGGUUGGGACACCCAAGAAGAGCCAAGCCAACCCAUUGUACUUGUAGUCUUCGUGUUUCUCAAAGAACAUCUUCCACAAGAAUGACCGGAAAGGAGCAAUUCCAGUUCCAGUUGCAAGCAUAAUGAUUGCGGCAUUUGGAUCUUUUGGCAUGAGCAUUUCUUUUCCUACAGGUCCUGUGAUUUUAACUUUAGCCCCAGGCAUCAGGUCACCUGGAAAGAAAAGGAACAGUGCAGUCAAAUGAUAAGAAUCUCUGUGAGUCUGUGACUGUGACCUAUUUGCAGAACUCUACAAUUAGAAGUUGGAAACUGGAAAACUGCAUUUAUGCUAUCUAUGAGUAACUGCGAAAUUCAAUUUAUGGAAAAUACUUCUGAUAUUUAGCAGCCAACAAAAUUUUGGAAAAAUGACUAGAAAGCUGAAAUAAAGGAAUUGGCAAAAUUAGAAUUCUUUUUCUGGCAUUCUUCUCUAGAUGGCUUUUACAAUAUUACAAACAAGAACAUGUCAAAUUAUUCUUCUAAACACAACUACAUAUAUUCUAACCCAGAGAACAAGGAUGUAUAUAAAUCCUUACACAAGAAAUUCGAGCAGACUCCUUUCACAAUCUCUCCUUGUUCAUUGGUGUAGACAAGCCUUUUGACACACAAAGAAACCUACCAAGUGCAUGCUCAACAAGAUUAAUUUCACCAUCAAACUACAAAGAAACCAAGAAUUUUUUUUUUAAGUUCAAAUAAAAUUAAAAUUCAUAUCGGCUAAAGCCUAAUUUCCAUUGCAAUAGUGAACUACAAUAAUGUGCACGCUGUAAUACAGUUUUAGAGUUGCCAAAGUCUCCCAGAGCACUACUGGCAAUAGAAUAUAAUCGUAGCUUGUGCGGUUUUCCAUUCUUGUCAAUACCAUCUGGAAUGACACCGACGGAUUGGCCUUCUCUGUAUGGUACUUCCCCCUCAGUACUGAAGACCAUGUGCCAGGUUUCUCCUGGGGCAUCAUCACCAGUAAUUUUGGUGUUGAGAAGACAUGUCCCAGUGUAUGGAUUCUUGGGCUUGAACUUGUUGACAACUACACCCUCCUCAAUCUUCUUCGACUCCUUUUCUACUUUAGCAGGAGCCUGUGUGGUGACUUGAGCUCUUAUAGUAACCUUUCUCCCACCCGCAGAGACAUUUCUGGGGCAAAGGAAACCCUUGUGGAAACUGAUUUUUUCAGGGUUAAUGUUGGAGAUUCUGGUUGGAAGAGAAGAUGACUUGGUUUUAGGUAGCGAAACUGCAACAUUUACAGUGGCAGCCAUGGUCAAGAUUCAGAGAGAGGGGAGAAGGGCUAUGAGGUUAGGAAGGAGAAUAAAAAGCAAAGGGACGAAACAAGAAGAAAAGGAGGAGGAAGAGAGAUAUGUGUUAGCGGAUCAUAGAGCGAGUGGAUGAGAAUUGGAGGACAAAAUGCAGUGGCACUUGGUGCUUUCG